rnacentral:rRNA from 1 species
AGACUCACUAUUUGGCGGAAACCGGCUUGAUGUUCUGGGCGGCACGCGAGUUACAAUGAAGCCAUAAGCGUGCUCCUUGUUCGAAAGAAUUGGGUAAUCACUUAACCGGCUUCGUAGUUGGGAUUAUGGACUGAAAAAGUCCAUAUNUUUUUUNGGAAUAUCUUGUAAGCAUGAGUCACUAGCUUGUGUUGAAUACGUCCCUUGAGUUUGUACACACCGCCCGUCGCUAGUACCGACGAGUUAUUUAGUGAGAUCUUUGGAGGUGAGCUCUACGGUGACUUGUUCAUUGUGGUUGUUUUUGCCAAAGCUGAUCAAACUUGAUGAUUUGGAGGAACUAAAAGUCGUAACAAGGUUUCCGUAGGUGAACCUGCGGAAGGAUCAUUAAUGUAUAUUCAUUUAUGCUUUUACUGAUCUUUUACACUUUGUGAAAAAGGGAAAGAGAAAUACAAAAAUCCUUGGUACUCGCAUGCGACUACAAGCAAUCGCUUGUAUGUUGUUGGUUUCUAAAGGGUUACGCCAAGGGAACUCACUAUACCUAUGCAUUAAAGCAUCUAAUGCUUUAAAACAUAAGCGGAUAUCGUUUCAAAAAGGAAUAGAGAAAAUUUUAACCCUAGACAGGGGAUCACUUGGCUCAUGGGUCGAUGAAGACCGCAGCAAACUGCGCGUCGCCAUGUGAACUGCAGGACACAUGAUCAUUGACAUGUUGAACGCAUAUUGCGCCUUAUACAUUUGGUUCUAACUAAAGCCUCAAACUUUGUGGAACUGUAUAAGGUACAUAUGGUUGAGUGUCGUAAUUUCAUUAUAUUUGAAUUAUAAACAUCACACUCCGGUGUGUUGUACAAUUCAUUGUCAUCAAAGACUCUCUUCAGUGAGAGAUUUAUGACUAAGGUGCUAUCAUGUCAGUUUACGCAAUUAUCACAGAAAUAUAUUUUACUAUAUGAUGUGUGCGCUAACUAUACGUAAUGUAAAGAANAGUUGCCAUAUNANNUGCAUAUAUAUUGAAAUGAUGAUUUAACCCGACAGCAAAACAAUACGAAUCUCNAUAAUNNUCGCUUUAUUGAGCGACCUCAANUCAUGUGUGNCNACCCCNUGNAUUUAAGCAUAUUAAUUAGGGGAGGAAAAGAAACCAANAGCCUCCCAGCUAAAUACCAAGA